rnacentral:rRNA from 1 species
GAUGAACGCUGGCGGCGUGCCUAAUACAUGCAAGUCGAGCGAACAGACGAGGAGCUUGCUCCUCUGACGUUAGCGGCGGACGGGUGAGUAACACGUGGAUAACCUACCUAUAAGACUGGGAUAACUUCGGGAAACCGGAGCUAAUACCGGGUAAUAUAUUGAACCGCAUGGUUCAAUAGUGAAAGACGGUUUUGCUGUCACUUAUAGAUGGAUCCGCGCCGCAUUAGCUAGUUGGUAAGGUAACGGCUUACCAAGGCAACGAUGCGUAGCCGACCUGAGAGGGUGAUCGGCCACACGGGAACUGAGACACGGUCCAGACUCCUACGGGAGGCAGCAGUAGGGAAUCUUCCGCAAUGGGCGAAAGCCUGACGGAGCAACGCCGCGUGAGUGAUGAAGGUCUUCGGAUCGUAAAACUCUGUUAUUAGGGAAGAACAAAUGUGUAAGUAACUAUGCACGUCUUGACGGUACCUAAUCAGAAAGCCACGGCUAACUACGUG